rnacentral:rRNA from 1 species
GACGAACCGUGCGAACGUUGUUCGGAAUCACUGGGCUUAAAGGGCGCGUAGGCGGGCCAGCAAGUCAGGGGUGAAAUCCCACGGCUCAACCGUGGAAGGGCCUUUGAUACUGCGGGCCUCGAGGGAGGUAGGGGCGUGCGGAACUUCCGGUGGAGCGGUGAAAUGCGUAGAUAUCGGAAGGAACAUCGGUGGCGAAGGCGGCGACCUGGGUAGAUACUGACGCUGAGGUGCGAAAGCGUGGGGAGCAAACAGG